rnacentral:lncRNA from 1 species
CCCUGUUGGGUGGGCUUAUAUAACAUUGUUUGUAAAUUCAUGUCAGAAUGAGCCUGCUGGUUUGAGUGGUAAGGAGUUAGUGUGUUGGAGGUCCUGUGCUCGAAUCCUUGUGUGAGCAAGGGUGAUAAUUUUUCUUUCGGUUGGCUGAGAGAGUUUGGAUGGACUUAAAAUUCUGAGUUGGUUGGGUUGUUAGUGGAUGUAGUGAGAUUGUGUUCAAAUUAAUCAAUUUUAUUUUUUUACCUUAUUAUUUUUAUUUUUUCUCUCUUCCCAAAUACGUUUUGAUGUUUUUUCUCCAAAUUCCCCUUCCAAACAUUUUUUUUAUUUCUUCCUUAUUUGAUUUCUAUUCACUAUACUAUUGUUCAAUCACUGUGUUUUGGGUUCCGUAAUCA